AUUUAGAAAAUAGUCCCGCGCAGGGCUCUAAUGUCCGUCCUUCUCCAUCACAAAAGUCAAAAAAAGGUAGGCCAGUUCUCUCUUACAGGGAAAAAUAAAAACUAGGAUCAAAUGAAACUGUAGCACAGAACAGUUUACUAGGUUUAAAAGAUCACCGUAGACACCAAAAAUGAGUAGAGUUUAAGACCCAAUCAGAUCAUCUUCUGAUCCAUUUCAAGAGCAUUCCAAGUGGUCUUUUAGUUGGAAUCGUGCCAUUUUGUGCCUAAAUCAAAACCCAGUCACUUUAUAGGACUAGGUGAAACUGUGUUUUCUUCUCUGCUCCUGAUUCACAACGAUAAAAAUAAAUAGUGAGAAAUGUCCUUUUAAGCUUAAUUUUCUUUCUAUAUGUCCUACAUUAUUAUAAAAAUGCCGCAAGUCUUUAAAAUUCAAAGGACAGAAUAACCAGCUUAUUUUCACCUCCGUUUCAAAGAAUUGGGGAUUUUCUUUGGUGUUGAUGCAUAAAUAACGCCUAGUAAAGAAAAUGGGAAAAGAUCAGAAACGUUCUCUUCACACCAGCUUUAUUUAACUUGUUUUACUUAUUUACUUUUCCAGUUUCCACCAUUAGGUUUGUUCCCUCGUUUAUGGCGUCCCACGAUAUGUGACCAUUUGACCUCCUCCCCCACAAUCCAUUCCAUACUAAUGGUUUUUUUUGAGGACAUUGCAAAUGAGCCCGGACCUGUCUAGAGUUUGCCAAGAAUUCCUGGGAAAAUGCUGAGUUUGCUCCUGCAUGUCAGGCCCACAGUGGAGGAGCUUCUUCUCAAUCCAUAGCUGCAAGAAUGACACCAUCCAUCCUUGAAAACUGGAGACUUGAAGAAAAAGAAAAUUCAAUAAUUUAUAGAAAACAAAAGAAGAUCUAAAGAAGAAAUCUUCUGUAUGUGGACUUCAUACCUGGUGGGGAAGUUUUGUGGGGGCACCGGCCGAUGGCCUGUAUAGGUCCGGUAUGACGGUGUCUUUGCUUAGCUUCUCCUUUUGGUGCAGUUUGGGGAGUUUGGCCUCCCAACGCCAAGCGGAACUUCUCCAAGGAUGUCUUUUCCAAACAAGCCCAUUUGAUUGGAGCUGUUUUUGUUUUUGUGAGCUCUCUGGAGGACUUCAUGGAAAAGUGUUUGGCUCCUUUCCCAGGGACCAGGCCCACAUUGGAGGAUCUUCUUCUGCAUGCGUCCAUGGCUGAGAGGAGGAGACGGUCCGGUCCAGAACUAAUCCGGAACGACACAUUGACGGAAGUCCCAUCUUCUUUUCCUUUGUGUGUGGGUUCACUCCAUGUCCCAUCUGAGUGGAUCCUCUUCACAUUGGAUACGAACAUAUAGGGAAUGUGGGCGUGGUCAGCA